CCUACGGGCGGCAGCAGUGAGGAAUAUUGGUCAAUGGACGAGAGUCUGAACCAGCCAAGUCGCGUGAAGGAUGACUGCCCUAUGGGUUGUAAACUUCUUUUAUAAAGGAAUAAAACGACGCACGUGUGCCUUUUUGCAUGUACUUUAUGAAUAAGGCUCGGCUAACUCCGUGCCAGCAGCCGCGGUAAUACGGAGGAUCCGAGCGUUAUCCGGAUUUUUUGGGUUUAAAGGGAGCGUAGAUGGGUUGUUAAGUCAGUUGUGAAAGUUUGCGGCUCAACCGUAAAAUUGCAAUUGAUACUGGGAGUCUUGAGUACAGUUGAGGUAGGCGGAAUGCGUGGUGUAGCGGUGAAAUGCUUAGAUAUCACGAAGAACCCCGAUUGCGAAGGCAGCUUACUAAACUGUGACUGACAUUGAUGCUCGAAAGUGUGGGUAUCAAACAGGAUUAGAUACCCGGGUAGUC
rnacentral:rRNA from 1 species